rnacentral:rRNA from 1 species
ACGCUGGCGGCAGGCCUAACACAUGCAAGUCGAGCGGCAGCGGAAAGUAGCUUGCUACUUUGCCGGCGAGCGGCGGACGGGUGAGUAAUGUCUGGGAAACUGCCUGAUGGAGGGGGAUAACUACUGGAAACGGUAGCUAAUACCGCAUGACCUCGAAAGAGCAAAGUGGGGGACCUUCGGGCCUCACGCCAUCGGAUGUGCCCAGAUGGGAUUAGCUAGUAGGUGGGGUAAUGGCUCACCUAGGCGACGAUCCCUAGCUGGUCUGAGAGGAUGACCAGCCACACUGGAACUGAGACACGGUCCAGACUCCUACGGGAGGCAGCAGUGGGGAAUAUUGCACAAUGGGCGCAAGCCUGAUGCAGCCAUGCCGCGUGUGUGAAGAAGGCCUUCGGGUUGUAAAGCACUUUCAGCGAGGAGGAAGGCAUUUCA